ACUGUCACUUCCAUCAGGUGUUGCCGGGGGCAUUGGUUUGCCUCCAUGGUUAGCAACUUCAGGAUCAGUAGGAAGACUUGUGGCUAGAGCACUAUCAUGAGACCAGAAUAACUUCCAGUUAUUUUUAAUGUUAGUAUUUAUGUACUUUGGCAUACAAUGCCGAUAAAAUGUUUGUUGUAUUGUAACUGCUUCCUGUACACAUUAUUUCUAAACUAUUUAUACACCACAUUAUUGAGUUCAGAAUUUUGUGGUUACGGGAUCUGUAAACCCAUAAUUU